rnacentral:rRNA from 1 species
GGUUAAGCGACUAAGCGUACACGGUGGAUGCCCUGGCAGUCAGAGGCGAUGAAGGACGUGCUAAUCUGCGAUAAGCGUCGGUAAGGUGAUAUGAACCGUUAUAACCGGCGAUUUCCGAAUGGGGAAACCCAGUGUGAUUCGUCACACUAUCAUUAACUGAAUCCAUAGGUUAAUGAGGCGAACCGGGGGAACUGAAACAUCUAAGUACCCCGAGGAAAAGAAAUCAACCGAGAUUCCCCCAGUAGCGGCGAGCGAACGGGGAGGAGCCCAGAGCCUGAAUCAGUGUGUGUGUUAGUGGAAGCGUCUGGAAAGGCGCGCGAUACAGGGUGACAGCCCCGUACACAAAAAUGCACAUGCUGUGAGCUCGAUGAGUAGGGCGGGACACGUGGUAUCCUGUCUGAAUAUGGGGGGACCAUCCUCCAAGGCUAAAUACUCCUGACUGACCGAUAGUGAACCAGUACCGUGAGGGAAAGGCGAAAAGAACCCCGGCGAGGGGAGUGAAAAAGAACCUGAAACCGUGUACGUACAAGCAGUGGGAGCACGCUUAGGCGUGUGACUGCGUACCUUUUGUAUAAUGGGUCAGCGACUUAUAUUCUGUAGCAAGGUUAACCGAAUAGGGGAGCCGAAGGGAAACCGAGUCUUAACUGGGCGUUAAGUUGCAGGGUAUAGACCCGAAACCCGGUGAUCUAGCCAUGGGCAGGUUGAAGGUUGGGUAACACUAACUGGAGGACCGAACCGACUAAUGUUGAAAAAUUAGCGGAUGACUUGUGGCUGGGGGUGAAAGGCCAAUCAAACCGGGAGAUAGCUGGUUCUCCCCGAAAGCU